GGUUGCUGUUCUUAGAAUUCCUGAAUCACUUUAUGACUUCUUAUGGCAUCACAGUGAAAGCUGAAGCUUCCAUUCAUUAGAGAACCAUCAUUGCAUGAUGACAUUUCCUUCUUUUCACUGGCAGGCAGUAUUAAUUCUGGCACCAUUAGCAAAUCUACAUAUUGGCAAUAGUGACCAUAAAUCCUCUGUUAACUCCCAUGUCUCAUCUUGACUAUCAAGAUUAUUACAUGGAAAGACCUUUGAACCCACCAAAUGGUGAAACCUUACUUUUUUAAAGUCAAUUUGCCGGUUGAAGUUUUUGGUGUACUUCUGCUUCACAUUCAGUGGUUGAAUUACCACCAGAUCUGUUGUUCAGUAUGUGUCCAAGAAAGCACCCAAUGGCAGUGCUGGAGUGCGGCGUGAGCCAGACGUGAUGGAGGAGAGGACAGUGACCGACCUGACACAACUCAACCUCCCGCUAAGUGCCCCCAAUCCACAGUGACUUGAGAUUAUUGUAUCAUUUUUUUAAAUGACUGUUUUAGUAUUUGAUUAUCUGUCCUCUGAUUUCCAUCAUUUUUCAUUGUCUUAUAUGUAAAGAAAUAGCAGCACUCUCCUUGAUAGCUUUUUAUAGGACUAUAGGACUGAUAUUCAAGGCAAACAAUCUUUUUUUCAGUCUGGAAGUUUAUAUGCCUGUUUCAGGUCGUAAACCCCAGCAUCCAAGCAUAUAGGCUAUGCGCUGGUAAUGACAUUUAAAGUAGAAGUUUGCAUUUGUUUAAAAUUGUAAUAGAGCUAGUCAUGUGAUAGACUGCAAAAUAAGGGAAUUUUCCUCUCUUGAAAAACAAACAAACAGGGGAAGGCAUAUAAAAAAUGUAAUGAAAACAUAAUUGAAAGAAAUAACAGUUCUGAAGCAAUGAACAACUUAUGAAACUAGGUACAAAGAACAUAUUUUGUUAAAGUAUGGGUUUCAAACACUUUGAGGCCCCUUGAUGAAUAGAUAAACAGAAUGGAAACUUAACACAUCUGAAUUUGGCAGGGACUAUGAGACAUUUAACUGAAUUUUUGCUUUAAAGCUUUUUGGUUUAAUAUGUUUUGUUUGUAUGUUUGUUUUUUUGUUUUUUCUUGAGAUUAAACCACAAUUGGCAGACCCCUUUUGAAGGAUCAAAGACAACAGCUGCAUCUGAAAUCACAUACUUCCAUGCUGUAUAGUAGAUCAAAAACAAUAUGUGACAAAAGUAGUAUGUCUGAAUUCAUAGUACUUGUAAAAGAGUAGGCAAAAAGUACCUGGAUGACCAACUAUUUCAGGCAAGAUUCAGUGCAUACGAUGGACACUUUACUAUCAUAUUGCCAUUGGAGAGGAUUUAUGAAUGGCAGUGAAGAGACACAACUGACACUUGUAGAUGAUACGGGAUAAACAACAACAUGGUGUAUGUAGUACGUCCAGGUAACACUCUUUUUAGCAGAUUUUUUUUUUUUUUUUUUUUUUCAAUUUCGCAAGAUAAUUACUUACUCAAAAUAUGUACCUACUUGAGAGUGUGUGAUUUCUGAUGCAGCCAACUUCUGUCUCAGACAAGCAUCAUACUAUACAUAGACCUGACACUACCAAAACGAAAAGAAGGUAAUUAUUAAAUAAUAUUUAGUAAUGAAACCUUAACCAUUACAAACGCUAAAAUAAUAACCAUUUUUUUACAUGAACAUGCACAUUUAAUUAUAUAUAAACAAAUACACAAACUAUUAAUAAAAACUAUUGGCAAUGUUGUUAACA
ensembl:lncRNA